AGAAUCGAGUCGGAUUCUCAUUUUGGAGGAACUUCGGCAGACACUAUAUUGCAGCCUGCAGUGAAGACGAAAGUAAUUCAGUUGCUAGCAAUUGAAGAAGAAGCAGAACGGGCAAGUCGUCCUGGAAAUCAAACUUUCUGCUCGGUGACUACAGAAAUACUGGCCGUAACACGAUCAGUGACUGUCGCAAUAUAAUCGAUUGUUGGAAGCUAAGUUGUUGAUCCGAGAAGCUCCCUUGUUGUAAUCUCGGUUUAAAGUUAAUCAAACGAAAGAAAUUGUCACUUAUGUAAAAAUGUGAAAUAUUCCAAAUAAAAAAACAAGAGACAUACACACUAA